rnacentral:rRNA from 1 species
GACGAACGCUGGCGGCGUGCCUAAUACAUGCAAGUCGAACGCAGUGGGGACGGGUUAGUAAAACGUGGGUAACCUCCCAUCAGAGUGGAUAACACUUGGAAACUGCUGCUAAACCGAUACUGCUGUAUGGAACAGCGGUGCAUUAGCUAGUUGGAGGGGUAACGGCUCACCAAGUCCAAGAUGAAGAGCUGAGCUGAGAGGGUUAGCGGCCACACUGGAACGUAGACACGGCCCAGACUCCUACGGGAGGCAGCAGUAGGGAAUCUUCUGCAAUGGACGAAAGUCGGAUCUAGCAAUGCCGCGGGAGUGAAGAAGGUUUUCGGGUCGUAAAGUUCUGUUGGCAGGGAAGCGGGAUAGAAAGAGAAAGCCACGGCUAACUACGUGCCAGCAGCCGCGGUAAUAG